rnacentral:rRNA from 1 species
AUUGAACGCUGGCGGCAUGCCUUACACAUGCAAGUCGAACGGUAACAGGCCUUCGGAUGCUGACGAGUGGCGAACGGGUGAGUAAUACAUCGGAACGUGCCCGAUCGUGGGGGAUAACGGAGCGAAAGCUUUGCUAAUACCGCAUACGAUCUACGGAUGAAAGCAGGGGACCGCAAGGCCUUGCGCGGACGGAGCGGCCGAUGGCAGAUUAGGUAGUUGGUGGGAUAAAAGCUUACCAAGCCGACGAUCUGUAGCUGGUCUGAGAGGACGACCAGCCACACUGGGACUGAGACACGGCCCAGACUCCUACGGGAGGCAGCAGUGGGGAAUUUUGGACAAUGGGCGCAAGCCUGAUCCAGCCAUGCCGCGUGCAGGAUGAAGGCCUUCGGGUUGUAAACUGCUUUUGUACGGAACGAAAAGACUCUUUCUAAUAAAGAGGGUCCAUGACGGUACCGUAAGAAUAAGCACCGGCUAACUACGUGCCAGCAGCCGCGGUAACAC